UCCUACGGGAGGCAGCAGUAGGGAAUUUUCGUCAAUGGGCGCAAGCCUGAACGAGCAAUGCCGCGUGAACGAGGAAGGUCUUCGGAUCGUAAAGUUCUGUUGAAGGGGAAAAAGAGCGGAGAGAGGAAAUGGUCUCCGAUUGAUAUUACCCUUCGAGGAAGUCACGGCUAACUACGUGCCAGCAGCCGCGGUAAUACGUAGGUGGCGAGCGUUAUCCGGAAUGAUUGGGCGUAAAGGGUGCGUAGGCGGCCUGUUAAGUCUGGAGUGAAAGGUAUCGGCUCAACCGGUACAGGCUCUGGAAACUG
rnacentral:rRNA from 1 species